GGCCUGGCCGGAAGUUCACAAUUGCAAGUUCGAACGAACUUUGGUAGAGUGAGUUGCUUGCACUGAUUUCAACAUUGAACUGAUGGCGAACUGGUGAGUAACACGUGGGUAACUUGCCCAGAAGCAGGGGAUAACACUUGGAAACAGGUGCUAAUACCGUAUAACAACAGAAACCGCAUGGUUUCUGUUUGAAAGGUGGUUUCGGCUAUCACUUCUGGAUGGACCCGCGGCGUAUUAGUUAGUUGGUGAGGUAAAGGCCCCCCAAUGACAUGAUACGUAACCCAACUGAAAGGGUAAUCGGCCACAUUGGGACUGAGACACGGCCCAAACUCCUACGGGAGGCAGCAGUAGGGAAUCUUCCACAAUGGACGAAAGUCUGAUGGAGCAAUGCCGCGUGAGUGAAGAAGGGUUUCGGCUCGUAAAACUCUGUUGUUAAAGAAGAACACUCUUGAGAGUAACUGUUCAGGAAUUGACGGUAUUUAACCAGAAAGCCACGGCUAACUACGUGCCAGCAGCCGCGGUAAUACGUAGGUGGCAAGCGUUGUCCGGAUUUAUUGGGCGUAAAGCGAGCGCAGGCGGUUUCUUAAGUCUGAUGUGAAAGCCUUCGGCUUAACCGGAGAAGUGCAUCGGAAACUGGGAAACUUGAGUGCAGAAGAGGACAGUGGAACUCCAUGUGUAGCGGUGGAAUGCGUAGAUAUAUGGAAGAACACCAGUGGCGAAGGCGGCUGUCUGGUCUGUAACUGACGCUGAGGCUCGAAAGCAUGGGUAGCAAACAGGAUUAGAUACCCUGGUAGUCCAUGCCGUACACGAUGAAUGCUAGGUGUUGGAGGGUUUCCGCCCUUCAGUGCCGCAGCUAACGCAUUAAGCAUUCCGCCUGGGGAGUACGACCGCAAGGCUGAAACUCAAAGGAAUUGACGGGGGCCCGCACAAGCGGUGGAGCAUGUGGUUUAAUUCCAAGCUACGCGAAGAACCUUACCAGGUCUUGACAUACUAGGCAAAUCCUAGAGAUAAGACGUUCCCUUCGGUGACUUGAAUACAGGUGGAGCAUGGGUGGCGUCAGCUCGCGUCGUGAUAUGUUGGGAAAGUACGGUAAGAGCGCAACCUUAUUAUCACUGUCAGCAUUAAGUUGGCCAUUUUGGGAGGAUUGCCGGGGCCAACCCGGAGGAAGGUGGGGAGGAGGUCAAAUCUUCAUCCCCCUUUUGCCUUGGGUUCCACACGGGUUCCAAUGGAGGGUCAAAGGAGUGGGGAAUUCGUGAGGCUAAGCUAAUCUCUUAAAACCCUUUUUCAGUUGGGAUGGUGGGUGCAAAUUGCCUUCCAGGAAUUGGGAAUCGUUGUUAUUCGGGGUUCACCAGGCCGCGGGAAAUACUUUCCCGGCCUUGGUACACACCGCCCGUCACACCAGGGGAGUUGGUACCACCCAAAGCCGGUGGGAUACCCUUUAGGAGUCAGCCGUCUAAGGUGGGACAGAUGAUUAGGGGAAGUCGAACAAGUGCCAGGCCUA
rnacentral:rRNA from 1 species